GAAGGCAGGAGGAGAAGGGGACGACAGAGGAUGAGAUGGUUGGGUGGCAUCACCAACUCAAUGGUCAUGAGUCUGAACAAGCUCCGAGAGUUGGUGAUGGACAGGGAGGCCUGGUGUGCUGCAGGUCCAUGGGAUCACAAAGAGUCAGACACGACUGAGCGAAUGAACUGAACUGAUACAUGAAAGACAGUAUAUUUUAAUUUCUAAUUAUUAUAUAUCACUUUAUUAUAUGUGAUCAUAUUUGCGUUUGUUACUAUAUGUAUAAAUACAACACAUCCAGCUUCCUGAAUAAUUUUUACAUACUUCAGCUCUAUAUUAUAUAGAAUCAUAUAUUCCAUCAUACGUAUGAAAUCUGUGAUUCUGUGUGUAUGCACGUGUGAUCAGUCAUGGCUGACUGCAACCCCAUGGACUGUAGCACACCAGGCUCCUCUAAGACAGUAUAUUUUAAAUUAGUACAUUAUAUCUGUUUUUAACUUUUCUAAAUUCUGUGAUGAAAAGACUGUACAUGCAUAUCGUCAGAGUGUGGCCCUUAAAAUAACUGCCAGAAUGAAGCGCUGAUUUCUAGCUUGGGUGCAAAAAUAAUAGUCAGGAUCUGUCCUGUGGACACAACAGCUAGGGUAAAAUCUUUAUCAUUCAACUACUUAUGUGAAUUUUUCUAGGUUUUAACCUACAGUAAUAUUUCUCCCCAAACAUUCCAAACUCUGUAAUAGUAAGCUGUGACUGCUAGACCGUGAGCUGGGAGGGAGCGAUACUGUUGGUGAUUGUCUUGAGCACAUCCCUAGCACAUAACCCACAAGAGGCCCUAGUAUGCAGAUGAGGAUGUGACAGUGAUUUUGGAGUUGCCUUCAACUUUGGGGGAACAGAAGAAACUGAAACACAAAACAAACUUAGAGAAGCUGAAAGAAGCUAAAGUAUUUAAAAACAUAUUAAAUGGGAAUCACUUCUUACCUUGAAAUGUUCUCAAAUGUCAUAGCACAAGAGAACCGCGGUGGCAUUGUGAAUAUAAGACCAAAAGAAGAUGGCAGCAACAGACCAUGGAACACGUCUGUACUGUUUUCCAGUCUCCACGGCCACCACCUGCCUCCACAGGCACCACCUAAGGAUUCUCAGAGCUGCAGGAAUGAGAGUUUUUUCAACUUUUAUCCUCAUGGUGACUCCCCAUGCAGUUUCUUGAGGGCUGUGGUAAACCAUUUCUCUGUAAUAAAAAUACCCAUGAUACUCUUUUCUCUACUGCCUCUUUGAAAUGUAAGAUGGCAGUAUUUAAAAAAAAAAGAUGGCAGUAUUAAAAUUGCUUAUAUUGAAUGUACUGUCAUUUCCAAAAUUCUUCACAUGGUCAAAUAAAAAUAUUCUCUUUGAAUAUGCAAA
ensembl:lncRNA